UGGCGAACGGGUGAGUAACACGUGGGCAAUCUGCCCUGCACUCUGGGAUAAGCCUGGGAAACUGGGUCUAAUACUGGAUAGGACCUUUCUCCUCAUGGGGUUUGGUGGAAAGUUUUUCGGUGCAGGAUGAGCCCGCGGCCUAUCAGCUUGUUGGUGGGGUAAUGGCCUACCAAGGCGACGACGGGUAGCCGGCCUGAGAGGGUGAUCGGCCACAUUGGGACUGAGAUACGGCCCAGACUCCUACGGGAGGCAGCAGUC
rnacentral:rRNA from 1 species